rnacentral:pre_miRNA from 1 species
UUAUAUAAUACGUAAGUAAUACUUUGGACCUUGGGUUUUCUACUUGUCAUCCUAAUCGUUGGAACUCACAAUGUAGGUAGGUAUUGACUGUAUGAGUUCAUUAGAUGAGAAGAGGUUGCCUAUGGUUUGUGCCUCUUUUGGAUCUUCUCUCUAGUCUUAGAAGAGCAAGAAGCAACAUACUAUCUUGAAACUCAAGUGCAGUGAUGAGGUGGAAAAUAAAGCUAACGAUACUUCCAAUACUGAAUUUUGAGUUUUCAAGAUAAUCUGUUGCUUCUUGUUCUUAGAAGACUAGAGAGAUGAUCCAAAAAAGGCAGAAACAGGUGACCUCUUCUCAUCUAAUGAACUCAUCCCGUCAGUACCUACCUACAUUAUGAGCUCCAAAUUCAUAUGACAAGUAGAAAAUUCAAGGUCCAAAGUAUUCCUUUUGCACUAAAUAA